UUCAUCGCACCACUACUGCGUAUCAUCCGCAGACUAAUGGCAUGACCGAGCGCUUUAAUCGCACUCUUGGUGACAUGCUGGCCAUGUACGUUGCAUCCGACCAAACCAAAUGGGACCAUGUUCUACCUUUCCUGACCUACGCUUACAACACCGCCACGCAGACUACCACGGGAUUUUCGCCCUUCUUUCUCCUGUACGGACGCGAACCUUUUUCCACAAUGGAUACUAUCCUUCCGUACCGCCCUGACUCCACGGAAACGACUACCCUAUCCGAAGCUGCUGCACACGCAGAAGAGUGUCGCAAGCUUUCCCGUAUAUUUACGUCAGAAGACCAGCAACGCCAGAAGCACCAUCGCGAAAGUUCCAAUGCUCCUGUAUCGUAUGCUCCUGGCUCGCUAGUGUGGCUUUGGGUUCCAGCCUCUACCACCGGACUGUCACCGAAACUCGCGUCGAAGUACCAAGGCCCAUACCGCGUGAUCAACCAAACGUCUCCAGUCAACUAUAUUGUGGAACCCCUCGAGCUACCUUUGGAUCAUCGCCGUCGUGGACGCGAAAUUGUGCAUGCCCAGCGUCUCAAGCCCUACUAUGAUCCGCCUGUGCUGUCCUACCCGUAGGUCGCCGGGACGGCUUCCUUUUCCGCGGGGGAGAUAACUGUACUGUAAAAUAAGGAGCAGUGGGGCUGUGGCUAGGAGAGAGACAGCGACGACGAGAAAGAACAACCUUGUUUCGGUGCUCGGUCGGCUACACUACCUCUCGCUGCUUCAGCGUUCUAGUCGCGAACGCUUUCUGCUCAAAGUGCUUCGCGACAAUAUAUUUUUUUUUUCAAAUGCGCCUGCAAGUUCUUUCAUCCACAGAACCGAAUAACUCUUUGAUAAACUGAAGCUAAAGUACUGAGUUUAAUGUAUUAAACAGUUGCACGCAUGAUAAUUCACCCAUAUUUCGUACCUGUUGUUUCCAAAUGUCCUUGGUAUUCAGUUUGGUCUACCUGAGGACAUUUAUUUUUGCAGUAGCAAAGCGGUGCAUCAGGUUCUUGCAGAAAAAGAAUGCAUCAUUUCUAAUAGAUUCACGUCUUUCGUGCGUUUGCUUGUGAAUCCAGCAGUGUGAUCUCUUCUAGUGUAUAAAUGAGCGCACAAAUGUUCUCAUUUGUGAUCUUAAUAAUUCUUAUGCUGUUGACAUGCAUUGUAGUUAGACAUCAAUUUGAUGGAGAGUAGCAAUAUUUAUGUACCAUGCUGCUUAAGCAGCCUAGAACAAACAGUGUACAUCUGCAUGUGUUCUGUAGUCACACCUUCUCGCAUUUCAUAUUGCACAAUUGUGCUUAUUCCAUUUCUGAUGCAGCCAAAAUUUCUGUUCCAGACAUGCAGUAAUGAGGACGGAGCCAGUAUAAAGCAACACACUCCUUGCACUAAAAAGACGCUGCUGCCUGCUACAACAAGGUCAAUGUGUGGACUUUGGCUGCUACUACAAGAGUCUGAGCCAUGCACAUCUUCGUCAUCACAGGAGCCCCCAUCUACACCAACAGGAAUAGGCUGGAGCCGAAUUCGCAAGGCUUUACACCACGAACAAAGAAGCCAUUCCAGAAUUAUUUGGAUGAGAUAUCAAGUUUACGGACGACUGUGUCAAGAGUGAAAAGAGCCUCCGCCAUCAUUCCACCAGCACGGAUAUUGCCAGAGUCAUCCAGGUGGACCGACAAGGGAUGGCAGCGGUGUCGCCCGGAAGGCCAUUCCAGUCAGCAGCUGUACGAGGAAAAAAUGACGCAGAAAAGGUAACAGUGCGUGCACGUGGGCGCGCGACUUGAAGAGGAUGACCAGUGCGACUAGAUAUGCGUGUUGGUGGAACAAUGUAUGGCGGGAUACCCAUCGAGCUAUGAAAAAGUUUAUAGAAUAAAGAAAGAC